CUUUCAUAGGAUAACAUUUAAUUCCAAAUUUAUUUUUAAGAUGACAUUAAAUGAAGGAGGAAGAACAGAAUGGACACAGGUAUGUAAACACACAGAAUAAAAUUGCUCUGUUUUGAAAGUUACAUAAGACGGCACAGUAUUUAAUAAACACAGUGGAUUUUGCAAAUAACCAUCUUUUAACGAUAUGUACAUAUGUAUUUUUACAUGUAAAUUUUCUUAUUUCCCCCAGAAAAUUACAGUAAAAAAUAAAAUCAUUAACAGUAAAUCACCAGAGUUCUUUUUCUUCAUUAUUUUAAGUUUAAUCUACAAAGGUUAUUUCAUCAUGUUAUGGACAAAAAAAGCUGUGAGAAAAAUCCCACUAGAUUUGACAAUUUUUAUUUCUUUUCAUUUUUGAGUACUAUAAAAUAUAUCUUAAUCUUUAAGCUAGAGAAAAUAAUAGAACUGUUCCACAUUUUAAAUUUAAAGAUCACAGACAGAGAUGAGAAAUACCUGAGGUUAACAUAAAAGAAUUCAAAUCACUGUAAACAGCAUAUCCACAAGUGUCAGAGCUAGGAAUGGGAAGUUUAAAUUGUCCACUCUUAUCUUUGUCCUACAUAAAAAACAAUGUGAUUGUAACUCUGUGAGAGUGCAAAACAUCAGUACUGUGCUUCAACCAUGUAAACAUACAUGGGACCAAGAACUUGUAACAAAAGUGUUUCACAUUUCUCUUUCACAGAAAAUGAACAGUCAAUACAUACGUCACGAAGUGAGGGGAUGUGAAACCAGUGACCUGAGAAACUUCUGGGAAAAGACUAUUGAACAACAAACUCGGUAUCUGCAAAUUGAAAAAGAACGUCAGCAAAGAAGCGCUCUGACAAAGCUCAGAAAUGAAUGGAUGGAGAGGCUGGAAAAGCGGAUAAAGAUGUUGAGAACUGAACCUGAAGACCCAUCUAGCUGAAGAUCCACAUUCAUUGCAUGUAAAAAAGAAAAUAGUUUUGUAGGAGAGCAUGAUGGUGUGAUUCAAAAGCUCAAGUCAAUUUUACUUUGUGGCUUACAUGAGCUAUAAAUAAUUAGCUGUCCAUUAGAAGCUUCAUGUGUAAAAUGUGUAUUGCUGCUUUUAGUAUUAUGUGUCCAUCCCAUUAUUUGAUAAACAGAGAUUGAAGUACUCUGAAGUCUUCAAGACUAAUGAAUCAUGGUUCACUGAGCUGGGGAUGCUUGGGAAAAAUACAGUUCAGCUACAUAACGUUCAGCAAAAGCAUUUCCUGGACAUUUUAGUUUUUUCUCUAAACUGAUGGUAAUUUAAUGAAAUGGUUCUCUUUUUAAUGACUAGUUGAGUGUUUCUGGUUUUGUUUUUGUUUUAAAUACAGCAGAGCCCUUCUCAGACUAAGGAAGUGGGGACAUACAUAAAAAUACUAUCACAUCCAAAAUCACAAGUAGUGUUCUAUUUGUUAGGUGUAACAGAUUCUUGCUUCUGUAUUAAAUAUCUGUAAAGUCAUUAAUACAUAUUCUGAGAAAUAGACUUUGUGACAUACCAACAAGAGUUGCUUUAUUUGUUAACCCACAUUAUCUAACUUGAGAUGCUAUGCCACCAAAGUCAAAAUGACUUGGAGUUUGAGGGAUAGUUCUGGUACCCAAACCAACUUGUCUAGAACUGGUCUGGUAUCUCUUACACAGAGCAAGCUGGUGUACCUUCAAAGCUGCCUGUCAUCAUGAGUGACAAGCACACUUUUUGCUCUAACAUGGUGAGACCCAGUAAAUAUUCGUUCACAACCACUACAUUCAGAAACACAGCAAGUUUCAUCUUCCAGAUUUGCCAUUAGUCAGAACUGUUUCUAAUGCUUUCAGAAGAUGUAACAUCUCCUGAAACAGUAUCAAAGCAUAUCAAUAGGCUGUUAUAAUAAAACUGCUUCCUUUUUACA
rnacentral:lncRNA from 1 species